UUCCGAUCUGGCAUUUGGAGCUGCAAAAGAAAUAUCAGGUCAGUCUGACUUUUACCCCUUUAUAAGUAACCUGCUUUCUCUGAAUACUUGUAGAAUUUUUUCUUUAUCUUCCAGUUUAACG